rnacentral:rRNA from 1 species
CGAAUGCUGACGUGAGUAACGACAAAACGGGUGAAAAACCCGUUCGCCGAAAGACCAAGGGUUCCAGUCCAACGUUAAUCGGGGCUGGGUGAGUCGACCCCUAAGGCGAGGCCGAAAGGCGUAGUCGAUGGGAAAAUGGUUAAUAUUCCAUUACUUCUGUGUAAUGCGAUGAGAGGACGGAGAAGGCUAAAUCAGCCUGGCGUUGGUUGUCCAGGUGAAAGGAUGUAGGCAUGUAUCUUAGGCAAAUCCGGGGUACUCUAUGCUGAGAUCUGAUAGCAAGCUGUACUUGUACAGCGAAGUGGUUGAUGCCAUGCUUCCAGGAAAAGUCUCUAAGCUUCAGUUACACAGGAAUCGUACCCGAAACCGACACAGGUGGUCAGGUCGAGUAGACCAAGGCGCUUGAGAGAACUCUGCUGAAGGAACUAGGCAAAAUGGUACCGUAACUUCGGGAGAAGGUACGCUGUUGUUGGUGAUGGAACUCGCUUCCUGAGCUGACGACAGCCGCAGAAACCAGGCCGCUGCAACUGUUUAUUAAAAACAUAGCACUCUGCAAACACGAAAGUGGACGUAUAGGGUGUGAUGCCUGCCCGGUGCUGGAAGGUUAAUUGAUGGGGUUAGCGUAAGCGAAGCUCUUGAUCGAAGCCCCAGUAAACGGCGGCCGUAACUAUAACGGUCCUAAGGUAGCGAAAUUCCUUGUCGGGUAAGUUCCGACCUGCACGAAUGGCAUAAUGAUGGCGGCGCUGUCUCCAGCAGAGGCUCAGUGAAAUCGAAAUCGCUGUGAAGAUGCAGUGUACCCGCGGCUAGACGGAAAGACCCCGUGAACCUUUACUGCAGCUUGACACUGAACUUUGACCUUACUUGUGUAGGAUAGGUGGGAGGCUUUGAAGCUGGAACGCUAGUUCCAGUGGAGCCGUCCUUGAAAUACCACCCUGGUAAUGUUGAGGUUCUAACUCUGUCCCGUGAUCCGGGACGAGGACCGUGUCUGGUGGGUAGUUUGACUGGGGCGGUCUCCUCCUAAAGAGUAACGGAGGAGUACGAAGGUGCGCUCAGCGUGGUCGGAAAUCACGCGUAGAGUAUAAAGGCAAAAGCGCGCUUAACUGCGAGACCCACAAGUCGAGCAGGUACGAAAGUAGGUCUUAGUGAUCCGGUGGUUCUGUAUGGAAGGGCCAUCGCUCAACGGAUAAAAGGUACUCUGGGGAUAACAGGCUGAUACCGCCCAAGAGUUCAUAUCGACGGCGGUGUUUGGCACCUCGAUGUCGGCUCAUCUCAUCCUGGGGCUGAAGCAGGUCCCAAGGGUAUGGCUGUUCGCCAUUUAAAGAGGUACGCGAGCUGGGUUUAGAACGUCGUGAGACAGUUCGGUCCCUAUCUACCGUGGGCGCUGGAAAUUUGAGAGGAUCUGCUCCUAGUACGAGAGGACCAGAGUGGACGAAC